rnacentral:rRNA from 1 species
AUACAGAGGGUGCAAGCGUUAUUCGGAAUUACUGGGCGUAAAGCGCGCGUAGGCGGAUUGGUAAGUCAGUUGUGAAAGCCCUGGGCUCAACCUAGGAACUGCAUCUGAUACUGCUUGUCUAGAGUCUGAUAGAGGGAAGGAGAAUUCCUGGUGUAGCAGUGAAAUGCGUAGAUAUCAGGAGGAACAUCAGUGGCGAAGGCGCCUUCCUGGAUCAAGACUGACGCUGAGGUGCGAAAGCUUGGGUAGCGAACGGGAUUAGAUACCCCGGUAGUCCAAGCCGUAAACGAUGUCAACUAGUUGUUGGCCCUAUUAAAAAGGUUAGUAACGAAGCUAACGCGAUAAGUUGACCGCCUGGGGAGUACGGUCGCAAGAUUAAA